UACGAAGGGAGCGAGCGUUGUUCGGAAUCACUGGGCUUAAAGCGUGCGUAGGCGGAUUAGUAAGUCAGAAGUGAAAUCCCGGGGCUUAACCCCGGAACUGCUUUUGAGACUGCUAGUCUUGAAUUCGGUAGAGGUUAGUGGAAUGUCCAGUGUAGAGGUGAAAUUCGCAGAUAUUGGACGGAACACCAGUGGCGAAGGCGACUAACUGGACCGAUAUUGACGCUGAGGCACGAAAGCGUGGGUAGCAAACAGG
rnacentral:rRNA from 1 species